AGAGUUUGGUCAUGGCUCAGAUUGAACGCUGGCGGCAGGCCUCACACAUGCAAGUCGAACGGUAACAGGAAGCAGCUUGCUGCUUCGCUGACGAGUGGCGGACGGGUGAGUAAUGUCUGGGAAGCUGCCUGAUGGAGGGGGAUAACUACUGGAAACGGUAGCUAAUACCGCAUAAUGUCGCAGGACCAAAGAGGGGGACCUUCGGGCCUCUUGCCAUCGGAUGUGCCCAGAUGGGAUUAGCUUGUUGGUGGGGUAACGGCUCACCAAGGCGACGAUCCCUAGCUGGUCUGAGAGGAUGACCAGCCACACUGGAACUGAGACACGGUCCAGACUCCUACGGGAGGCAGCAGUGGGGAAUAUUGCACAAUGGGCGCAAGCCUGAUGCAGCCAUGCCGCGUGUAUGAAGAAGGCCUUCGGGUUGUAAAGUACUUUCAGCGGGGAGGAAGGGAGUAAAGUUAAUACCUUUGCUCAUUGACGUUACCCGCAGAAGAAGCACCGGCUAACUCCGUGCCAGCAGCCGUGGUAAUACGGAGGGUGCAAGCGUUAAUCGGAAUUACUGGGCGUAAAGCGCACGCAGGCGGUUUGUUAAGUCAGAUGUGAAAUCCCCGGGCUCAACCUGGGAACUGCAUCUGAUACUGGCAAGCUUGAGUCUCGUAGAGGGGGGUAGAAUUCCAGGUGUAGCGGUGAAAUGCGUAGAGAUCUGGAGGAAUACCGGUGGCGAAGGCGGCCCCCUGGACGAAGACUGACGCUCAGGUGCGAAAGCGUGGGGAGCAAACAGGAUUAGAUACCCUGGUAGUCCACGCCGUAAACGAUGUCGACUUGGAGGUUGUGCCCUUGAGGCGUGGCUUCCGGAGCUAACGCGUUAAGUCGACCGCCUGGGGAGUACGGCCGCAAGGUUAAAACUCAAAUGAAUUGACGGGGGCCCGCACAAGCGGUGGAGCAUGUGGUUUAAUUCGAUGCAACGCGAAGAACCUUACCUGGUCUUGACAUCCACGGAAGUUUUCAGAGAUGAGAAUGUGCCUUCGGGAACCGUGAGACAGGUGCUGCAUGGCUGUCGUCAGCUCGUGUUGUGAAAUGUUGGGUUAAGUCCCGCAACGAGCGCAACCCUUAUCCUUUGUUGCCAGCGGUCCGGCCGGGAACUCAAAGGAGACUGCCAGUGAUAAACUGGAGGAAGGUGGGGAUGACGUCAAGUCAUCAUGGCCCUUACGACCAGGGCUACACACGUGCUACAAUGGCGCAUACAAAGAGAAGCGACCUCGCGAGAGCAAGCGGACCUCAUAAAGUGCGUCGUAGUCCGGAUUGGAGUCUGCAACUCGACUCCAUGAAGUCGGAAUCGCUAGUAAUCGUGGAUCAGAAUGCCACGGUGAAUACGUUCCCGGGCCUUGUACACACCGCCCGUCACACCAUGGGAGUGGGUUGCAAAAGAAGUAGGUAGCUUAACCUUCGGGAGGGCGCUUACCACUUUGUGAUUCAUGACUGGGGUGAAGUCGAAACAAGGUAACCGUAGGGGAACCUGCGGUUG
rnacentral:rRNA from 1 species